GCGGUAAAGGAUGGCCAUGCGUCCCAUUAGCUAGUUGGUGAGGUAACGGCUCACCAAGGCGAUGAUGGGUAGGGGGCCUGAGAGGGUUAUCCCCCACACUGGAACUGAGACACGGACCAG
rnacentral:rRNA from 1 species